UUUUAAUACACAAGUAAUUUACACAGUUCAUAUGAAGCACUCACAUUUUACAUAUUCUCCUGGCUAAAUAAAGCAUUUAAAAACACUCCAAAAUUCGAGAAUUUAGUAUUACCUGUUAACACAUACAAACCACUGAAUGGUCAGAACAUUUUUAUCUAACCAUAUAUUACUUUCAGUGACUAACUUUCAAGUUGGUGCAUUUUCCCUAAAUAUAUCUAAUUUAAAUAAAAAUGAAACCAAACAAGAAACCAAAACUAGACAAUCUUUUACAAGUCAAUUAACAUCGAUAUGGCUUUACAAUGUUAAGUGUUAUAUUAAAACUGGCAAGCACAGGAUAUAAUACAGUGUUCCCAAUGCUGAGAAAUUUGGAGGAAUUAAAAAGCAAAUGGUAGCAUUCCAGUAGACAAUAAUGCAAAUUCCAAAUCUAACCUUAAGUUUGCUGAGGCAAAAGACACAUUGUAAUCUGAAGCAUUAUGAUUAAACAUUUACAUUAGAAUUUUAUCUCCAAACCUUCUGGAAAUCAUCACUGCUGACUAAAUUCUUAAAGCAGCUCAGUAUUGUUAAAACUCUUUGCUCAGUUUUUCCUAAUACAAAUUCUAUAUCCCCAUGGGUAAAAUAAAAGUAUAUUUUAGUUGAUUUAUCUUCAUUAUUUAGCUUUUAACAAAAAUAAAGGUUGAAUAACUAAUACAACAGUAAUUUUAAAAAUACAAAACAAACUGUUAUAGUUUAUUUAAUGUUUAACUAUAAAAGUUGAUAGUUUCAGAGUUUAAAUUCUGUAAAAUGCAGUUUGCAGAAAACAGUUUUAACAGUUACUAGACUAAUGAUAAAAGAAGCAGCAUUUUGAAACUAAUUAUAUAAUUGUGACAACAACUUUAUUCCUAAAUUUCAUUAAAAAAAUAUACAUCACAGUGACUUUUGAGCUAGGAAAAGAAGUGCAUUAACUUCAUUUGAAUUUAUCCCUUCCACAAAGAGAGCAGCCACAACUUUUAACAUCCCCACAUACAAAUAUCCAAUUCAUUUAUCAAUCCUUCAAAGUACUAGAAACACACAAAAAACAAAAUACACAGCAUGGGCUUUUGGUAACACAGGACUUUGCUUUAAAAAAAAAAAAAAAGGCAGAAACACAACUUAACCCCACAACUCCUCCUAUACCUGAAGACAAAACCCCUCAACAAUCCCUUCUCCAACCUUGCUGAUGGACUUUUAUUUAUGUGAUUUUUCUUUUAAUAUUUACUUCUUGUAUCAUACCACAGGCCAGAGUUUGCAUGUCUGAAGCCUUUAAAGGUAGCUGGGAAACCCACUAUGGGUAGGUGUCAGUCAAUGCUGCACUUCCUAGAGUUUAAUUUUUAACUAUUGCAACAAAACUUUUCACAAUAAACAGGUUAUAAAUCUAUAAUCCUUGGAGUUUAUUCAUCUGUAAAUGUAUGAAUACUAAACUGAAUAAUUACAAUAAGCAUAACCAGAAGACAGGAAAUUACCCAUUUUAUGUACUUUUAUAACAAUCAACUAUAUAUCAUGUAUAUUUAAAGUACCUUCUGGUGAAGGUAAAGGGAACAAGUUACUAUGGGAAUUUACUAUAAAAGAUUCAAAUUGUGAUGAAAAAAAAUUGCUACCUGGAGUAAAGCACAGUGAGAUACUAAAAAAACCCAUACUAACUUGUUCCAUAUACUAACGUGAAAACAAAUUAGAAUUGUCCUUUAACAUCACUACUCAAAAUACCGAAACCCAAUGUGUUCCUUUCUACAUUAUUAAGAAAUGUUCACUUUUCAGUUUAAUACCUUCUACCGGGUACAAGAAUCAAAGGCCAUUCAGCAAAGCCAAUAUGAAUCAGUAUCAUACUUGUACAAAGAUUUAUCAGACACAUUCUUUGAAACUUCUGUGAGGGCUUUAAGGUACUCUAUUAGAAAAUACAAUGCUCUAUGAACUCAUUAACUGUGAUUUAAAAAUAUUUUAAAGCAAUCCAGCAGAUUCUCUACUGAACAUUAAUCUCUCUGUAGUGUCAAUUUCUGUGGCAGAUGGUUUACCCCCCAAAAAGAAUGAAAUAAUCAUGAAAAAAAUUCUCAGAACUUGCCAAACAAUAGAAUAAACCUAUUAAAUAUCUUUAGAGGAUAUCAAGUCAAAGAUAGUUUGAGGUAAACCAUAAGCUCAGACAGAACUAUAAAAUCAAUUUGACAGGAAAGAAAGAGCCGUCUUUCUGGAAAGAGGAUAUUCAAAAUAAAAGCUAAAGGUGACACAACUAUUAAAAAUGUAGUAAAACUAAAAAAAAAAUGUAAUAAAAGGACUGUUUGAGCUAUGUGCUAUUCUGAUGCAAAGGCAGACGACAGAGUUAAUGCUGUUUAAUUAUUUUCUAAAUGUUUUUUGUAUUCUGAAAAUAAAAUCUACCUGAUUGUCAUCUUUCAAUUUCUUCACUAUAUCUGUUCUACUGUAAAAACUAAGUUUUUAAAUGUCUAUAAAUGCUUAGAAUGGAGUUGCUCUUUUGAAAACCACAACAGAAUACUACUUAUAGAAAUUACUUUUCCCCUAUGGUUACUUGUCUAUAAUUCUUAGUAAAGCUUUGCAAUCAGACAACAUGUAAUAAGUAUUUUUACUUAGCAUGGGUUUUUGCUGUUGUUAUUAGAAAUCCUUUCUUAAAUAGCACCUUUCUUAAAGCUCAAAUAGUUUAUAACGAGAUUUUUAAAAUGCAAUUUACUGAAUUUAAGACAAUAACUAAUUUAAGAUAUGUAACAGAAUAUACAGCUUGGGAACUCAAGGUUCAAUCAUCCCUAAGGUAGGUUUGUGGUCAGUCUCUAAGAAAUCAAUCAUCCCAGAUUAUCAUAAACAUCUAUCACUUUUAUCAUCAGGAAAAAAAAUUUAGAAAAGACUUCAUUGUGGAUAUUUGCUUCAAGAUAUUCCAAACAAUCUUAUAAUCAUUACCUAUUAUUCAUUAUGGAAACAACUACCACAAUGCCAAAUGUGUCAUUAGUGUAUUAAUCAAUAAUGGGAAAUAUGUUAAGCACUGCUUUGCUCAGUACAAACAGCACUGAGUCUAAUUACUGGAUUUACCAAGAAGCUACCCUGGUAAAAGAGUUGACACUACAUUGACAAAUAUUAAAGUACAAAACACUCUAAAGGCUACUAUUAAUUUCUGAAAUUUCUUCUCAAAUGAGGAAGGUUUUCUGUUUGCUGGAUGUUCAAUAUUUUAUUUUUUAUUUAGAAGAGAAAUUACAGGAAAAAAGGCCACACAUCACAAAAAUAGCAAUAUACAACACACAAAAUUCUAAAUGGACUUUGGGUAUCUUUUAUUGUUUAACUCCGUAAGCUAUCAAAUUUUGCAACUUUCUACUCUAUGUGGCAAUGUUACACAUGCCAAGCUAAAACAAUGUUAACAGUAAUGGUAUAAAGCCAUCUGAAUAGAAAGAAACCAGAGUCAUAAACAUGCUAUACCCUAUUGUGAUACAUAUAUAGAAAAGAUGCAUUUUCUUGCCAUUUGAAACUCACUACUAUGAGUUAGAGAAGCCAGCUUAAGUUAAAAAAAAAACAAAACAUAAACAAAAACAAAACAAGUACCAUGCAGAAUUAACACUCAACUCUAUAUAGAUCAGUGGCCAAAAAAGAAAUCUCGGAAGUUAGUAUGUCAAUACUAACAAUUUUUAGAAUAUCACAUAAAGGCCUGCACAAGUGGUAUGUUUUAGUGAGAAAAAUAUCUUCAUUUUAGAGAAAGGUAAUGAGAAUAAUAAUAACGCAAUGUUCCCCAAAGCAAAAAUUUCAUCUUUUGAGACCAAAAGCAACAUAGAAUUGAGAAUUACAAUCUGAAUUUCCAAGGUAUAGUUCCUGUCAGAUGCUGUAUAACAGCAAAUCAAACUUAAUCCUAUAUCAGCUGAAAAAAGUUCUCAAUUAUUUUUGUAGACAGUUAAGUGAAACAAAACUAGUCAGGAAAAAUAUUAGUAUGAAUCAAGCUAUUAGUGGAAUUAUAAAGAACAUAGGAAGUGCAAUAUAAGUAACUUUUAAAGCACAAAUUACUAUAAAAUAAAAAGUGAUGACCUAAGAUCUCAAGUUAUUAGGAUCCUGCUUUUCUGUUUAAUUAAAAGCUGCAGCUGCUGCAAGCCUCUAUUUAAAUGCAACCAUAAAAUCUAUACAAGAUUUCUUCUAUCUAGUGGCUUCUAAAGAUACUUUAAUCAUGAGAAACACAAGCUUCUGUAACAAUGUAUUCCAACAAUCAGUUAUGCUUGUUUUGAACUGGCUGAUCACACAAACUGGGAUGUAGAAUAGCAUACUUGCUACUGGCUGAUUGUUGCAACACAAAAAUGCAUACAUGAAAUAGUUAAACACAGCACACAGUAUUACACCAAAGUGUUUUUCUCAUUUCAAGUUUAUUAAAACUUUAGCAGUACAAAUUAUCCAGGUUGCAGAUUAUCAAAAGAUCAACUCAAUGAAGUCCACAUAAAAAAAAAAAAAAAAA
rnacentral:lncRNA from 1 species